UCGGGAUAACACCUGGAAACAGAUGCUAAUACCGGAUAACAACAGAUGAUGCCUAUCAACUGUUUAAAAGAUGGUUCUGCUAUCACUCUUGGAUGGACCUGCGGUGCAUUAGCUAGUUGGUAAGGUAACGGCUUACCAAGGCGAUGAUGCAUAGCCGAGUUGAGAGACUGAUCGGCCACAAUGGAACUGAGACACGGUCCAUACUCCUACGGGAGGCAGCAGUA
rnacentral:rRNA from 1 species